CAGUGAGGAAUAUUGGACAAUGGAUGGAAAUCUGAUCCAGCCAUGCCGCGUGCAGGAAGACGGCCCUAUGGGUUGUAAACUGCUUUUGUAUGGGAGCAAUAAGGGCUACGUGUAGUCCGAUGAGAGUACCAUACGAAUAAGCACCGGCUAACUCCGUGCCAGCAGCCGCGGUAAUACGGAGGGUGCAAGCGUUAUCCGGAUUUAUUGGGUUUAAAGGGUGCGUAGGCGGUUUGAUAAGUCAGCGGUGAAAUAUUUCAGCUUAACUGGAAGGGUGCCGUUGAUACUGUCGAGCUUGAAUUUAGUUGCUGUGGGUGGAAUGUGUGGUGUAGCGGUGAAAUGCAUAGAUAUCACACAGAAUAUCGAUUGCGAAGGCAGCUCACAAAGCUAAUAUUGACGCUGAUGCACGAAAGUGUGGGGAUCAAACAGGAUUAG
rnacentral:rRNA from 1 species